rnacentral:rRNA from 1 species
UACGGAGGGAGCUAGCGUUGUUCGGAAUUACUGGGCGUAAAGCGCGCGUAGGCGGCUUUGUAAGUUAGAGGUGAAAGCCCGGAGCUCAACUCCGGAACUGCCUUUAAAACUGCAUCGCUUGAAUCCAGGAGAGGUGAGUGGAAUUCCGAGUGUAGAGGUGAAAUUCGUAGAUAUUCGGAAGAACACCAGUGGCGAAGGCGGCUCACUGGACUGGUAUUGACGCUGAGGUGCGAAAGCGUGGGGGAGCAAACAGG